UGGGGAAUAUUGGACAAUGGGCGAAAGCCUGAUCCAGCCAUGCCGCGUGUGUGAAGAAUGUCUUCGGUUUGUAAAGCACUUUAUGUUGGGAGGAAGGGCAGUAAGCGAAUACCUUGCUGUUUUGACGUUACCGACAGAAUAAGCACCGGCUAACUCUGUGCCAGCAGCCGCGGUAAUACAGAGGGUGCAAGCGUUAAUCGGAAUUACUGGGCGUAAAGCGCGCGUAGGUGGUUCGUUAAGUUGAAUGUGAAAGCCCCGGGCUCAACCUGGGAACUGCAUCCAAAACUGGCGAGCUAGAGUAGGGCAGAGAGAGGUGGAAUUUCCUGUGUAGCGGUGAAAUGCGUAGAUAUAGGAAGGAACACCAGUGGCGAAGGCGACCACCUGGGCUCAUACUGACUCUGAGGUGCGAAAGCGUGGGGAGCAAACAGG
rnacentral:rRNA from 1 species